AGAUGCCUGUCCAGGUGCAAAGUGGGGGAUCUGAAGCCUUUCUCCCUACUCCUGGAGCUGCAUCCCACAUGCUCUCCAGCACUCAGUCCUCAUCCUUCCUGCUUUCGGCACCCCAAACAGUCCAGCAAGCAAGAUUCGCCCCCUGCCCAGUGUGCCCAUCCCCAUGCUGGUCACACUACAGGAAAGGAGGAGACCCAGACGCUGCCUGCAAGGAAGUUGCAACUUGGUUGGUAAAACAGCUCUUUCUGGUGAAGAAUUUGCGGCCAUCCUCCCUCUUUGGGUGCCUAUAGUCUUUCAUUUGUUUAAUAACAAUAAGCACAAAAUUCAAGAGAAUGGUUUCCUCUUGGAGGGUGGGUGGGAAGAUGGGGGAGAGAAUGAGGAGUAAGCAGACAUGUUGUUAUUGUAACAUUGUCUCUUAAAUUGGGUGGUCAGUUAACGGGUGUUCAUUAUAUAUAAAUAAAUUAUAAACAACUGAAGAGGGCCAUGUACGGGUUAACAACGGUUCUAGGACAUAGACCAAAGAUUGAGAUUACUCCAGUCCUGAGCUCCACAAGAAACUAUCACAAAGAGAGCAAUCCUUUUUCUUGAGCACUUACUACAGGCAGGUACUAUGCUAACUGCUUUAUGUGCAAUGAGAUGGGGGAACGAGGAGUAACUGGCCCUUGGCCUGGAGUGGGGUCUGCUCCAGGGGGCUUGAGGUCUGAACUGGCCUCGAAGGAUGAUCAGGAGUCCUGGGCUGGCAAAGGUGAGAUCUGGGGUACAGGGUGGGGUUAAGGGGCGUCUGGGAGACCCCUGUGGCCUGCGUUAUUCUUUUGCCAGCUGUCUUAGAUCCCACGUUGAGGAGUCUUCCCAUCUUCUGUGGUUUGGAGACCAAAGCAGGCCCACCCUGGCAGCAGGAGGCAGGACCCUUUUGCUCUGUGGAGGCCUCCUAGCUGCCCCCACCACCCCCGACUCCAGAGAGAGAGGCAGGGAGGUUGGGGUUCUCCCCAGUUUAGAGGCAGAAAAAGUGAGGCUUCGCCUUUGGUUAGAACUGAAAAGACCAGCUAAUGUCACCCAGAUGGCUGGGGAUGGAAGCCGGGGGUCCCAGUUUUCUCCUGUUCCACACCUGCCAAGAGUGGUGCCCCUGGCUCCUGGGCCAAUACUGUCACAGCCUGGCAUGCGGGGGAGGGUCUCGGUAGAUGGUUCCCGUCUGCUGAGCGCCUCCCCUUCUUCUCAGUCCCCAAGGUUGCAGCAGCAGUGGGGGGACCAGCGCUGCCCCGGUGCCCACAGGGGCCUUCCAUGCCCCAGAUCAGGGCUGGGGGAGGCCAGCAGGGCACUCAGGGAGCACACUCCACAGAGGCACUGGCUCUCAGGGCUAUUCACACACUCCUGCCACCACACCUUCUUAAAUUCAGCACCCUAGCCGCCUUGCCUGCCUCACUGUGGCCCCUGCCCUGCCCUGCAGAUCUUCUCAGUGUCUGAGUGGUCUCCCUAGGGCCACCUGGGCUCUGGGCUCUCACCCAUCUGCCCUACCUAGCAUCUGAGCUUUCUGCCGCUGCAGCCCCAGCCCGUUGGCCUUCCUGCCCGGGAAGAAGAUAAUGCAAUUGGGCGCUGGUUCCAGGCCGUCUGUCUCCAGAGCACUAGCAAGCCCUGCACGCUCAGCAGCCACGAGAAGGAGGGCCUUCCCACUACCUCACUUGCUGCUGCCCUCGACCAAGGACCCCUGGGACACUCACUCCUAUGGAAGGGGGACUCCACCUCCCCCAGCCAAGGGAAAGGAUCCUGCUCCCCAAAUGUCCAGAGGAAACUUCUGCUCCCCUGCCCAGGGGCCAGCCCCAAGCUUUGAUGACUCAGGGAGAUUCCAGAGUGAGGGGAAGCAGGCCCCUGGCUGAUGCACCUGCCGCAUGAGCCCCUCUCUGUGGCUCUCCCCUGAUAUCCUGGCAUUGCCGCCACCCUCACCACCAGCACCUUCACAUCUGCUAACAGUUGGUGAGCACUAACUCCACGCCAGGUGCCAUGCCCAGAGUUUCACCUGCACGGUCUCAUUUAAUCCUCAUGCUCACGCUCCCCAGGAGUCACUGUUGUUACUUCAUUUUUAAGAUGAGGAAACAGAUGCUCUGAGAAAUGAAGGGACUUGUCUAAGCUUCGAAGCAGCAGAGUUGGGAUCUGAGUCCAGGUCUGCUGGCUCCAAAGCCUGUGAUCAUAAUUACCAUGGCGUAUUGCCUUUUCCUUUAAUUCCAGGGAAAGGAGUCGCGUCUCUCUGUCCUUCACUCCUGAAACUGGGGCAACACGGGAAAGGCUGAGUCCAGAGAUGACAACACCUGGCCUUUUGAAUGAGGCCAGACAGAUGGCUCUGUGACAGUACAGCCCACAGAUAUUAGAGUCAAAGGGGAGUGAGUGGAGCAUCCUGAAGGCUCAGCUGGGCACAGCUGGGCCAGGCCCCCGUAAGCCAGGGCAGAAGCUGGUGUGCUUAGAAGAGGCCAUUCUAUCCAGCACAAAUGGGUGGCAGGGUUGUUUGGUGGGGUCACACGCCCAGGGGCUAUGACUAGGACCACUCAUGGGCGCUUGCUCCUGGUUCCUUCCAAGCCCCUUGGAUGCAGACUGCCUGCUGGCUGAGUGGGCCACACUGGGAUCCUGGAGGUGCUGGGGGGCUGCCCUUCUGACCUUCCUCUGGUCCCUUGCUGUGCAGAGAUGACCUGGAUCAGCUCAGUCAACAGCUACUGGACUAUAUGCGUGAUCCUCCAUAUUUUGUCACGGCGUACUUGAUGGUCUCAACCCUGUCACUUCACCUUGUUCUUAUGAGCUCUGGUCCCCCUGACCAGCCUGGCCCAGCACCACCACGUUGGGCAGCAAAAAGCAUGAUGGCUUGGAAUCCACCAAGCCCCACAGUGAGCAUUUGGGCAAGUCCCUGGACCCCUCAAGCCUCAGUUCCUCAUCUGCAAAGUAGAGAGGAUAAUCCUCUCUUGCAGGGGAGCAGUGAGGACUAGGUGAGAGAAUGGGUGCCUGGCACAUGGCAGGUGGCACGGAAACGAGCCUCCCCUGCCGUCACGCCAGUUUAUGGCGGUCUGGAGCCUCUAUGUCCCCAGCUUUGCAACGGGAGACUCAGGGUGAUUGCUAAUGGGUGCGCUGGUCUCCCUCUUGGCUGAUACCGCGUCCGUUUGCUCAGCAGGCACGUUUACUGAUCACCAUGUUGAAGGAGCCCUCUCAGUGUUUGGUAACCAGCGCUCUUGUUUGGGGCCACCCAGGUCCCACUGUCGUGUCAUGAAUCAUUUUGCUAAAGAUACAGCGUGACUUUGGGGCAUUCUUCUUUUAAAAAAUCAAUAACUCAUUAACAAGGGACUAAACAAAUAAAGGGCAAGCAAUGACAGCCAUCUGCCAGGACCGUGCCAAGGCAGAGUAGGGGGUCCACUCAGGGUGGAGAGGCCUGGGGGGCAGUAGGCUCAACCAGUUCCCUCACCCCAGCUCUUACAACCCACAAAUCUGACCAAGUCCCUCCCCUGCCUCAUACAACUGCUCUCAGGAGAGAUCCUCUCUCAGGAGACCCCUGCAGGCCUCACGGUCUGCUCACCCCAGCCCCUCCAGCCUCACUGCGGCUGGUCCCUGCCUCACACCUGCAUUCCAGCCACACAGCAUGCCUACAGCCCCCUGUAUGGGCUCUGGUCUCUCCAGCCUUCUGGCCUUUACAUGUGCUGCUCCAUCUACCUGGACUGUGCUUCUCCCUCUGCCAGCCUAAAUAACUCAUGGUGCUUCUUCAAGACACAAAUGGAAUAAGCUCCAGCAAAUUUCCCCUGACACCUUCCCCUACUGUCUCCACCCCCACCCAGGGGCAUCGCAUCCACAGCCCUGGAUCUCCCCUUGCCCUGGCUCACGACCCACUAUUGACUUCUCUGAGGCCAAGGACUGUACCUGGUGAUCCCGUCCCCAGGGCCCAAGCUGUUACCUGGCACAGAGUUGGCACCAGCCGGGUGCUCACUGAAUGAGUGAGGGAUGACAUUAGCAUCUGAUGCCUUCCUCCUCCCUGUUAGUUCCCUAGACACCCUACUUUGGCCUGGGACAGUGAUGCUGGCUGCCCAAAUAACCCUCUCUCCUCCUGAGUCCAAGCCCUCAGGGGCCCUCUCCCUCUACUAGGACAUGGAUAGUUGGUGUGUGAACCUCAUAAUAAAAGCUAACAACCAGCACUUGUGAUGUGCCAGGCACUAUUCCACGCAUUUUCCACGUUGGUUAACCCAGUCCUCACAACUGCAUUGGAGGGCGGGUCUACUGUAGUCCCCAUCUUACAGAUGGGAAAACAGAGGCAGAACCAGGAGCAGAAGAGCCAAGCUUUAGACCCAGGCCAUCUGACUGCAGAGCCUGCGUUUGCAACCACAGCCCUCUCCCUUACUGAGGUGGGUUGUCGGGAGUCCGGAGUAGAGGAGACAGCCCAGAGACCCCACUGCCCGACAAGGCCUCAGGCGCUCUGCAGCUCUGCAGCGAGGAUGAGCCUGCAGGUCCCAGGAGCUCCAGUUACAGGAAACUGCUUAUUCUGGCCUAGUCGCCUGGGAUCCCAAUUCCCUCAUCUCAGAUUCCCUGCUCAGCGCCAGCCCCCGGCCCACGCCAGCCUCUGGCCCUAAUCUCAUUUGAAGCCAUGAAAUCGCAUUUGCAGCGUAUUAAUGCAGCGCAGAGCUGGCCCAGCCCACCUGUCUCCUGGAGGACAGAGGCCCGGAGAACAAGCUUGAGGGAGGCGCCUCUGACACCGGCUGGAACACCCGCAAACAGCAAUUAGGCUUGAAGAGGAAGAUUAAAAUAACACCCCCGCAAGGGCCUCUGCUCUACUGGCCCCCACCAUCACCCAACAGUGGUUCAAGGGCAGGCUUCUCACACUGGCCACCCUUACCUCCCCGCCGCCCACCUGCCCUGGGCCCAAAAGAAACCACAGCUUUCAAGCAUCCCGGCCUUUGCUAAGCUGCUCCGUUCCCCUGAGUGCAGCGCCCCGCCCGCCCGCAUGUCUGGCCAGCUGCCAUUCACCUGGCAUCACAGCUGAUGUUUCGUUAGCUUUUAGUACACAUUCUUUAAAUUGCCGACAUAUUCAAUUCAACAAUCCUGUCAGGGAAGUACUGUCCUCAUCCUCAUCUUACAGAUGAACACAGAGGCCACGUCCCAGAGCUGGAAGGUGGCAGAAUCCAUGGUGCCUCCAGGUCUAUCUGUAUUCUGGAAGUCUUUGCGAUCCUCUCUCCUCCUGCAUGCAGUCAGGCUAGCAUAUUAUUUAAUCCUCACAACCACGCAGCAGAGUAAGCAUCAUUAUCCCCAUUUUACAGAGGAGAAAACAGAGGGUCAGAGAAGUGAAAUGACUUGAUCAGGAUCACCUAGUAUGGGGCAGAGCAGACAUCUGAAUUCAUGCCUGAGUCGAACGUCCAUGUUUAUCUACUCCUUUCACUGCUCAGGGUGGGUAUGGGCUUACUUCUGUGCUGGGGCUAUUUAUGCAACUCUUUUUUUUUUUUUUUUGGUGAGGAAAAUUGUCCCUGAGCUAACAUCUGUGCCAAUCUUCCUCUAUCUUGUAUGUGAGAUGCCACCACAGCAUGA